AUGGAGGAGGAACAUGAGAGAGUCUCACGGGGCAGAGGAGGCCAAUGGAGCGCAGGGAAGAAGAAGACGGCGAGCACCGAGCCAAACUGCCAUUGUUCGCUAGUGGGCGCGCAGCGGCUUGCGUCAGUGAGGAAACAGUCGGAGGGGGAGAGGGGUCCAGGGGGACAACGACGACGAGGUGAAGCCAAGGGACAUGCUCAUGCGCGUGAAGGCGACGAGAUGAGGAGGUGCCACAACACAAACGGCCACUGGACGCGACCACUACACACAGAGCGUGUGCACUAUGAUGCCAUUAACGCAGGCACGGCGUGCACUGGCAUGUAG
rnacentral:rRNA from 1 species